rnacentral:rRNA from 1 species
AUUGAACGCUGGCGGCAUGCCUUACACAUGCAAGUCGAACGGUAACGGGCCUUCGGGUGCCGACGAGUGGCGAACGGGUGAGUAAUACAUCGGAACGUGCCCGAUCGUGGGGGAUAACGAGGCGAAAGCUUUGCUAAUACCGCAUACGAUCUACGGAUGAAAGCAGGGGACCGCAAGGCCUUGCGCGGACGGAGCGGCCGAUGGCAGAUUAGGUAGUUGGUGGGAAAAAAGCUUACCAAGCCGACGAUCUGUAGCUGGUCUGAGAGGAUGAUCAGCCACACUGGGACUGAGACACGGCCCAGACUCCUACGGGAGGCAGCAGUGGGGAAUUUUGGACAAUGGGCGCAAGCCUGAUCCAGCCAUGCCGCGUGCAGGAUGAAGGCCUUCGGGUUGUAAACUGCUUUUGUACGGAACGAAAAGCCUUCUUUUAAUACAGGAGGGUCAUGACGGUACCGUAAGAAUAAGCACCGGCUAACUACGUG